rnacentral:rRNA from 1 species
GACGAACGCUGGCGGCGUGCUUAGCACAUGCAAGUCGAACGGAAAGGCCCUGCUUUUGUGGGGUUCUCAAGUUGCGAACGGGUGAGUAACACGUGAGUAACCUGCCCUUGACUUUGGGAUAACUUCAGGAAACUGGGGCUAAUACCGGAUAGGAUCUCCUGCUGCAUGGUGGGGGUUGGAAAGUUUCGGCGGUUGGGGAUGGACUCGCGGCUUAUCAGCUUUUUGGUGGGGUAGUGGCUUACCAAGGCUUUGACGGGUAGCCGGCCUGAGAGGGUGACCGGCCACAUUGGGACUGAGAUACGGCCCAGAAUCCUACGGGAGGAAGCAGUGGGGAAUAUUGCACAAUGGGCGGAAGCCUGAUGCAGCAACGCCGCGGGCGGGAUGACGGCCUUCGGGUUGUAAACCGCUUUCGCCUGUGACGAAGCGUGAGUGACGGUAAUGGGUAAAGAAGCACCGGCUAACUACGUG